rnacentral:rRNA from 1 species
AUACGUAGGUGACAAGCGUUAUCCGGAUUUACUGGGCGUAAAGGGCGUGUAGGCGGUCUUCCAAGUCAGAAGUGAAAUUCCUGAGCUCAGCUCGGGCGCUGCUUCUGAAACUGCAGGACUUGAGUGCUGGAGGGGAUAGCGGAAUUCCUAGUGGAGCGGUAAAAUGCGCAGAUAUUAGGAAGAACACCGGUGGCGAAGGCGGCUAUCUGGACAGUAACUGACGCUGAGGCGCGAAAGCGUGGGGAGCAAACAGGAUUAGAUCCCCUGGUAGUCCACGCCGUAAACGAUGAAUACUAGGUGUAGGGGGUAUCGACUCCCUCUGUGCCGCAGUUAACACAAUAAGUAUUCCGCCUGGGGAGUACGGCCGCAAGGUUGAAACUUAAAGGAAUUGACGGGG